UAGCAUACCCUUGUCUCAAAAAUUAACCCUUGCUUGUCUAAUUAUAAACAACUCUAUACUGUGAAACUGCGAUGGCUCAUUAUAUCAGUUAUAGUCUAUUUGAUGGUCCUUGCUACUUGAAUAACCGUAUUAAUUCUAAAGCUAAUACAUGCAUCAGGGCCUUUGGGCUGUAUUUAUUAAAUUGAACCCAAUGCGGGGCACCCCGGAUCCAGGUGAUUCAUAAUAACUUUCGAAUCGAUUUUUAUCGAUGCAUCAUUCAAUUUUCUGCCCUAUCACCUUUGGAUGGAAGGGUAUUGGCCUACCAUGGUUUUAACGGGUAACGGAAAAUUAGGGUUCGAUUCCGGAGAGGGAGCCUGAAAAACGGCUACCACAUCCAAGGAAGGCAGCAGGCGCGUAAAUUACCCAAUCCUGGCACAGGGAGGUAGUGACAAUAAAUAAUAUUGCCAAGCUUUUUUAGGUUUGGUCAUCGCAAUGAGAACAAUUUAAACCCCUUAUCAAGGAUCAAUUGAAGGGCAAGUCUGG
rnacentral:rRNA from 1 species